rnacentral:rRNA from 1 species
AUUGAACGCUGGCGGAAUGCUUUACACAUGCAAGUCGAACGGUAGAGGGGGCAACCCCUCGAGAGUGGCGAACGGGUGAGUAAUAUAUCGGAACGUGCCCAGUCGUGGGGGAUAACGUAGCGAAAGUUACGCUAAUACCGCAUACGAUCUAAGGAUGAAAGCGGGGGAUCGCAAGACCUCGCGCGAUUGGAGCGGCCGAUAUCAGACUAGGUAGUUGGUGGGGUAAAGGCUCACCAAGCCAACGAUCUGUAGCUGGUCUGAGAGGACGACCAGCCACACUGGAACUGAGACACGGUCCAGACUCCUACGGGAGGCAGCAGUGGGGAAUUUUGGACAAUGGACGCAAGUCUGAUCCAGCCAUUCCACGUGCAGGAUGAAGGCCCUCGGGUUGUAAACUGCUUUUGUACGGAACGAAAAGGUCUCUCUUAAUACGGGGGACUCAUGACGGUACCGUAAGAAUAAGCACCGGCUAACUACGUGCCAGCAGCCGCCGUAA